rnacentral:rRNA from 1 species
AUUGAACGCUGGCGGCAGGCCUAACACAUGCAAGUCGAGCGGAUGAAGGGAGCUUGCUCCUGGAUUCAGCGGCGGACGGGUGAGUAAUGCCUAGGAAUCUGCCUGGUAGUGGGGGAUAACGUCCGGAAACGGGCGCUAAUACCGCAUACGUCCUGAGGGAGAAAGUGGGGGAUCUUCGGACCUCACGCUAUCAGAUGAGCCUAGGUCGGAUUAGCUAGUUGGUGGGGUAAAGGCCUACCAAGGCGACGAUCCGUAACUGGUCUGAGAGGAUGAUCAGUCACACUGGAACUGAGACACGGUCCAGACUCCUACGGGAGGCAGCAGUGGGGAAUAUUGGACAAUGGGUGAAAGCCUGAUCCAGCCAUGCCGCGUGUGUGAAGAAGGUCUUCGGAUUGCAAAGCACUUUAAGUUGGGAGGAAGGGCAGUAAGUUAAUACCUUGCUGUUUUGACGUUACCAACAGAAUAAGCACCGGCUAACUUCGUG